AUUUAAUUGAAGAGUUUGAUCAUGGCUCAGAUUGAACGCUGGCGGCAGCUUUAAUACAUGCAAGUCGAGCGAGAAAGUUUCUUCGGAA
rnacentral:rRNA from 1 species